rnacentral:rRNA from 1 species
UACGAAGGGGACUAGCGUUGUUCGAAAUCACUGGGCGUAAAGCGCACGUAGGCGGAUAUGUCAGUCAGGGGUGAAAUCCCGGGGCUCAACCUCGGAACUGCCUUUGAUACAGCAUAUCUUGAGUCCGAUAGAGGUGGGUGGAAUUCCUAGUGUAGAGGUGAAAUUCGUAGAUAUUAGGAAGAACACCGGUGGCGAAGGCGGCCCACUGGAUCGGUACUGACGCUGAGGUGCAAAAGCGUGGGGAGCAAACAGG